CAUAUUGAGAUACUUAGAUAAUGACUGUCGCACUUGGAAAUAGAAAUUUCCGUUUGAAAGGGUGUUGUAAGCCUUGAUGUGAGGCUUGAAAAAUUCAUUCCGAACCGAGCAUGGUUGAUACGCUCAAAGGGGAAUGUUGUGUCCUAGAAACAAGUGUUAACACUCUUCAGAUGUGAAGUGACAGACCAUCUGGUUGUAGUGAUCCUUUUGUGUGAGAAAAGGUGUGCUUUAGUGACUCUGGUGAUUGAAAGGUGUGGCAAAGGGGGUGAUUGUUGAGAUAUUGCUAUUAUUGGGCAACAACAUGUGUAGCCUACCCUAAGAAGAGAGGGUUGCCAUUAUCAAUGGUAGUUGCACCAACCAU
rnacentral:lncRNA from 1 species